rnacentral:lncRNA from 10 species
GGUGUCAGUGACAUGAAAUUUGUCACUGCAGAUAUCCAGAGAGCUGAAAUAAAGGAGUUGCUGGAGUGCUGAAAUGCAGAACCUAGAGCAAUACUGAAGUAUGGACUGGGUCUGAGCUGCUGUACAGCUGUUGAAGGCAGUCUGAGGCACCCUGGAGAGAGACCUGGGCUUUCAGUACCCUUCUCAGGCCCCCAGCCCUCCUAGAGCAUUCCUCAGCGAGAUCUGUCAGCUUGCCAUGCACAGGUUUUGCCUUGUCCCAGAUCCUAGACCAGUGCUAAGUGGCAGCAGCAAGCCCUUACGCACAUUCCUAUUGAGGACAUUCCUUAUUGUAUUUCCUUGCGGACGUCAUAGUGUUACUGGGGGGUCCUUGUUCUUAGAGCUCCCAAGAUGGUGGCUGCUUCCAAGAUGGUGGCAAGCCUCGUGUUCUCUGACCUGGGGUUCUUGGCCUCAUGGAUUCCAAGGAAUGGAACCUUGGGCCAUGCGGGGAGUGUUAUAGCUCUAUUAGAAGCCCUGGGUCACGGAAGAGGACCGUGGAACCUAUGACUAGUGUUCAGCUCAA